rnacentral:lncRNA from 12 species
UGCACAAGCAUUUGAAAAGCACUUUCGGGGUCUUUUGUUGUGGUUUGAUUGGUUCUCUCUUGGUACAUAUUCACAGACUACGAGAUCCAGAGACAGAUGGAGGUUCUACAGAGCAGUUAGACGGCUCUUAAUGAGACCCGAGCAUUUGACAGCAAAUCUGGGUUCAUGCCAGAGCCCAACUUGCCACCACUGUUUGUUUAUGAGAGUGAAGCUCCAGUGCCUGCGGGGCGUUGACCCCGCCCAGUUUGUGGUGAUUGACAGGCUGAGUUUCCAGCUGCCAGAGCUGCUGUCUGUGAAGAGGACGAGGCUUGUGGAAAUGUACGGCAUCCUGCAAGAGCACAGAUUCACGGGGGUGGUGAGAAACUCCAAAGUCAAGCUGUGCAUAUUUGUUUUUGUUUGCUCCAAUUGUAUUUUUAACUGGUCCACUUGUAAGUCAUUCAGUUUUCCAUUCUGCUUUGGUUUAAAAAGAAAAAUAAUUGCAACUUUAUUUCUUGUAAC